UAUCAGCAAGUGCCAGAAUCAAUUUGUCACAGCUAAGGUUGAUGAGAAUGUCUUGAAAAUGGAGAAAGAAAUGAAUGAAUGCACUGACCCUGUCAAAAAGAAGGAAAUUCAAUUGCAGUUGGAAGAAGAAAAUAGAAAAUUAAGAAUGAGAUCGGUUGGAAAUGUCAGAUUUAUUAGUGAGCUGUAUAAAUUGAAAAUGUUGACUGCCAAGAUUAUGGUUUAUUGUAUGAAUUAUCUCGUAG